AACGCGCACAGCGACAACAAAUCCGAUAGAUUAGAGAGGAGCCGCGCGCAUCACGCACACGCAGGAGGUGCAUAGUUUCUCCAAACAAAAACUAUUGUGCCUUUUCAUGCAUUUGGAGCAGUUUCUCUUUUAAUCCAGGACCGGAGGAUGUACGAUCUGUAGUAUCGGAUGUAUUAACAUUUUGUCAGCCUCUUGUCAGUCUUUAUUGAAAGAGAAAGAGAAAGAACUAGAUGUUUUUACUGAUCAGAUCCAUGAAACUCCGAAGAAGAACAACAACCUCAUGACUUAGACGCCGGAUUUAUUCAACUCAAGAUCGCCUUUACGCUCACACCGUAGAUUUUAAUGCUUUAUUUUAACUUUGUAAAUAUGAUUCACUUGACCUCUGAUUUCAGAGUCAAGAAUAGCUAGAGUCAAGAAUCAGUUUUCUUUGUCUGGGCAUUAUAGCAUUGACAUGAUGAUCUCUAUAGGACUGCUAGUUUAACACAUCAAGUUCUCCAAUUAUACCGUGCAAAGGCAAACAUGUCAACACUCAGACUAUUUCCUUGUUAGACAAGAGAUUGAACAGUCUUUAACUGCAAUGGGAAUGCAAUAAACAUUGCAUUGCUUUACGCCUAUUUAGACAUUUAUUGAAAGAAAUCCUUCUUUGUCAACCAACCAGAGAGAGGCUCGUGUGAGAUCUGGCUAUGUCAUUCUUUAAUUUCCGAAAAAUCUUUAAAUUGGGCGCAGAGAAGAAGAAAAAACAAUAUGAUCACGUGCACAGGGACACAAAUCCUGAGGAAAUAUGGGAGAUUGUGGGAGAACUGGGGGAUGGAGCCUUUGGAAAGGUGUUCAAGGCUCAGAACAAGCAGACAGGCAUUUUUGCUGCUGCAAAAGUGAUUGACACCAAAACUGAAGAUGAGCUGGAGGAUUACAUGGUGGAGAUUGACAUCUUGGCAUCAUGUGAUCAUCACAAUAUCGUCAAGCUGCUUGAUGCAUUUUACUAUGAAAGCAAACUGUGGAUCCUGAUAGAGUUCUGCGCUGGCGGGGCCGUCGAUGCGGUUAUGCUUGAGUUGGAAAGGCCUCUGACGGAGCCGCAGAUCAGGGUGGUUUGUAAACAAACUCUGGAUGCUCUGCUGUAUCUGCAUGACAACAAGGUCAUCCACAGAGACCUGAAGGCUGGAAACAUCCUGCUCACACUGGAUGGAGACGUCAAACUGGCGGACUUUGGAGUGUCUGCCAAGAACACGAAGACGAUCCAGCGAAGAGACUCUUUCAUUGGAACCCCUUACUGGAUGGCUCCAGAGGUUGUGAUGUGCGAGACGUCUAAGGACAGGCCGUAUGACUAUAAGGCCGAUAUUUGGUCUCUAGGAGUCACUCUCAUCGAGCUGGCUCAGAUCGAACCGCCCAACCAUGAGAUGAACCCAAUGAGAGUUCUGCUCAAGAUCGCAAAAGCUGACCCUCCUACUCUCCAGCAGCCCUCAAAAUGGUCUCCUGAGUUCAGUGACUUCCUGAAACAUGCGCUGGAUAAAAAUGUGGACAACAGGUGGAGCACAGCACAACUUCUUCAGCACCCGUUUGUGAGUAGUGUAACUGACAACCGACCCCUGCGGGAGCUCAUUGCUGAGGCCAAGGCAGAGGUCACAGAGGAGAUAGAGGAGAUGAAGGAAGAAGAGGAGGAAGAAGAUCAUGAAGGAAACUUGCUUCCCGGACACAAGCGUGCACCAUCUGAUGCUAGCAUCGGAAGCUCGGAAGACGAGAAGCUUCCGCAGUCACCAUCCACCUUGGAGUCUGUUCCUGAAAAGAUUGAGGAAGUCGCUACACCCAAACUACCAGAUGAUAAUCUUAUACCUGGAAUAAGGAAGGAAGAAGAACCUCUAAAGGUGGACGAGAACUACAUCCAGGAUGUAACAGUACCUGGAUCCAAGGAACAAGCUGUGGAAAUAUCUCAAGAACCUAAAGAUGAAGAAAAGGCUGUAGAACCAGAGAUUGAUCUUCCUGCUGAAACAAUAGUCCAAACGGUGGAGCAACCAGCCAAACCUGAUGAAGAGAAACUGGAAGAGAAAAAGGAGGUGGUGGGCAAUGGCGAGCUCAUAAAGGAAGUGUCUGCUUCAGACAUUGCUUCACCGGAGACUCCAACAGAGCCCACUAAACAAGCUGAGCCUGAUGAUCCCAGCCUAACAUCUCCAGUGAAAGAAGUAGAGAAGGUUGAGGAAAAGGAGAAAUCUGCAUUGGUGGAGGAACAAAGCCCAGUGAAGACCAGGUAUGUGAAGAAGAAAGACUCAGACUCUGGAAUAAGUUCUACAACUGACAACAGCAGCAUAGACCUGAACUUAUCCAUCUCCAGCUUUAUCAGCAAGUCCAAGGAGUCAGGAACCAUCUCUCAACAGGACAACAAGAGGAAGAAAAAAACUCUGAAAAAGACUCGCAAGUUUAUUGUGGAUGGUGUGGAAGUCAGCGUGACGACAUCAAAGAUCAUCACAGACAAUGACACCAAAAGCGAGGAGAUGAGAUUCCUCCGGCGUCAGGAGCUGAGGGAACUGAGACUUCUGCAGAAAGAGGAGCAGAGAGCCCAAACUCAGCUCAGCAACAAACUCCAGCAGCAGAGAGAGCAGAUCUACAGACGCUUUGAACAGGAAGUCACGAGUAAGAAGCGUCAGUAUGAUACGGAGGUGGAGAAUAUGGAACGGCAGCAGAAACAGACCAUCGAGCGUCUGGAGCAGGAACACACUGAGCGUCUCCGAGACGAAGCCAAACGCAUCAAAGCCGAGCAGGACAAAGAGCUCUCCAAGUUUCAGAACACGCUCAAGAACCGCAAGAAAGAGGAGCAGGAGUUUCUUCAGAAGCAGCAGCAGGAUCUGGACAGCGCUCUGAAGAAGAUCAUUCAGCAGCAUAAACAUGAGCUGGCCACUGUUGAGAGAGACUGUCUGAACCACAAACAGCAGCUUCUGAGAGCCCGAGAAGCCGCCAUGUGGGAGCUGGAAGAGCGCCACCUUCAGGAAAAACACCAGCUGCACAAGCAGCAGCUGAAAGACCAGUACUUCAUGCAAAGACACCAGCUGCUCAAAAGACACGAGAAGGAAAUGGAGCAGAUGCACAGGUAUAACCAGCGUCUGAUGGAGGAGAUGAAGAGCAAACAGACGCAAGAGAGAACAAGGCUGCCUAAGAUCCAGCGCAGUGAUGCUAAGACCCGCAUGGCCAUGUUUAAAAAGAGUCUGCGCAUCACAACCACAGGGGUCACGCCGGAACUGGAACGUGAGAGGGUCAAACAGUUUGCAGCACAGGAGGAGAAGAGACAGAAGAACGAGCGUCUCCAUCAACAGCAGAAACAUGAGAAUCAGAUGAGAGACCUGCAGACGCAGUGCGACGCCAACGCCAGAGAACUCCAGCAGCUGCAGAAUGAGAAGUGCCAUCUGUUGAUCGAGCACGAGACUCAGAAGCUGAAGGAGCUGGAUGAGGAGCACAGCGCUGAGCUCAAGGACUGGAGAGACAAACUCAGACCCCGCAAGAAGGCCCUUGAGGAAGAGUUUGCCCGUAAGCUACAGGAACAGGAAGUGUUCUUCAAAAUGAGCGGGGAGUCUGCAUGCCUUAACCCCUCCACCCAGAGCCGAAUCUCAAAGUUCUACCCCGUCCCGACCGUCCACUCCACUGGGUUUUAGUGCACACAUGCACAGAGAUGCUGAACUGCUGUGACUGAACCUCUGCUGCCUUCUUCCCUCUGAUCGCUGGUGUCAGUCAGAACGGAGGGCCGAAUUGUUCCAGUAAGCUGCAGCUGUUGCUUUGAUUUUAUUCUUUUUUAUUUUUAUUUAAGCUUUAAAAAUGGAUUUUCAGUGUGGAUUCCCUAAACAUUUCAGUGAUGGUUUAUGAAAGAUAAUGUGAUUUAAUUCUAUAUGCCACUAAAUGAAUCUGUUUUUCAUUUUCUUUUUUUUUUAAUUUGAAAAAAAAAAAAAUAAUAAUAAUUUUACCUUUUUUUUUUUAUUUUUUUUUCCUCCUCUGAACAAGUGGUCUCACUGUGUUAAUCAUGUGGUGUACUGUGGUAUUUUUUAGGACUAUAUUUGUGAACAUGGAAUGACUGUUCAACUUCAGGCUAAUUUGCAUGAAUAAAAGAGUCGAUGGUUGAUGUCAGUGGUUAUGAGAACCAAUCAAAUUAUUUAAAUAUCAAAAUCAGUCAGAAUAAAGCCAUUGAUUCUGCCAAGCAAAAAUUUGUACAAUUCUAAUGAAGUGUAAUGGCACAUUAUUUAGAGAAAUACAUUUUCAGGACAUAAUAUUUACAUAUAAUUUCCUAUAUGAAUUGCGGGAUAUAAAUAUAUUUGAAUUUCUGUUAUCUUGCAUCACUUUUUGUGAGCUUUGAUUACUAUCAUAAAAUAGAUUUAUACUUUAGGUAGCAGCCAUAUUCAUUUCUUUGAAGCAUUUUAGCAUAUCAACCACACUGUAUGCAAAUAUUCUGACAUCACUGUGGUAAGAAGUGCAUUUGCGCUUGCUGUGCUAUGCAAUGUGAACAUGUAGCACAAUUAAUCAUCUCAAAGUUACAAUUUAUCUAUGAACUUUAAAGCAAAAGAGCUCAAUCUUUUCAUGUUGUCCAUACUGUUUAUUCUCCAAAAAAUGCCAAUUGAUUUUUCGAUUACAUGAGUUUGUUUCUCUGAUAACUGGAGAUUCACCCAGACAUCUCUACACUAACAUUUGUGUCCUUUUCGACUGUAAGACUGUAUAGAGUGUCCAGUAAACUGAUUUAAUUUAAUCAAACCGGUGUUUUAUUCUUGUAUAUUUUAGCAUUUGUUUUAGUAAAAGUUUUUUUUUUCUUCAUCUAAGUUGACUCAACUUUCAACAUACACUUCUUAAUGUGUUUACUGCAUUUACAUGUGUGGCGUAGUCCGUAAAAACUGCACAAACAGACAUUUAAAAUCUGUGAAUAAAGACUGAAAACAUGAAGUUGUUGUCAUUGAUAACCUGAGAGCAUUGUUGAUGUUUUGCAGCAGGUUUUACUGUAAAGAGAGUGCUGUGCACCUUCUGAUACAGGAAGUCCUGCAGGUAGUCGCAUAAUCAGUACUUUGUCUUGAUUUUUUUUUUUUGUAUGCAUUUUCUCAUGAGGUAAAAUGAACCGCAUAACAGUUGUAAGAUGUACUGUGUUUGUGUCAAAGAUCAAAUCUUUGUGAUUAUAGGAAGCUGCUGUAAUUAAAACAUUUGUGGUGAAUA